AAAGUCGUAACAAGGUCUCCGUAGGUGAACCUGCGGAGGGAUCAUUCACAUGAUAUAAACUUUGAAAACAAACUGUGAACUUUAUAUUUAACUAUUCUACACAAACAAUUUAUAUUGUAUGUGUUUACAUUCGAUGAACAUUAGAUAGUUGGCUUGUUAUUUUAUGAUAACUUUCUCAGCUUUGAUUUUUAUAUAACUUUAACCAGUUUAUAAAUUAUCAACCAUAAACAUAGAAACAACUCUAUGCCCUGGAUAUCUUGGUUCUC
rnacentral:misc_RNA from 1 species